rnacentral:rRNA from 1 species
GACGAACGCUGGCGGCAUGCCUAAUACAUGCAAGUAGAACGCCCACUUUAUAGCGUAGAUUGCUACACCAUUGACUGUGAGUUGCGAACGGGUGAGUAACGCGUAGGUAACCUGCCUGGUAGCGGGCGAUAACUAGUGUAAACGAUAGCUAAUACCGCAUAUUAUUAAUUAUUGCCUGAUAGUUAAUUGAAAGGUGCAAUUGCACCACUACCAGAUGGACCUGCGUUGUAUUAGCUAGUAGGUGAGGUAACGGCUCACCUAGGCGACGAUACAUAGCCGAGCUGAGAGGGUGAUCGGCCACACUGGGACUGAGACACGGCCCAGACUCCUACGGGAGGCAGCAGUAGGGAAUCUUCGGCAAUGGACGAAAGUCUGACCGCACAACGCCGCGUGAGUGAAGAAGGUCUUCGGAUCGUAAAGGUCUGUUGUAAGGGAAGAACGGGUGUGGGUGUGGUACGGUCAGGCUGUGACGGUAUCGUACGAAAAAGGGACGGCUAACUACGUG